AUACUUACCCGGCCCGGGGAUACCUGAUCACGAAAGGGGGUUUUCCCCGGGCAGGCUCACCCUUGCACUCGGUUUGUGCCCCUGCGAUUAAACCCCCAAAAGUGGUUAAUCGAGUGCGAAAUUUUUUUUAGCAGGGGAUGCGUUGCGCUAUCCCCUU